AGCGGCGGACGGGUGAGUAACGCGUAGGCAACCUGCCCCAUACAGAGGGAUAGCAUCGGGAAACUGAUAUUAAAACCUCAUAAUACGGAACCAUCACAUGGUGGAACCGUCAAAGAUUUAUCGGUAUGGGAUGGGCCUGCGUCUGAUUAGUUAGUUGGUGAGGUAACGGCUCACCAAGACAGUGAUCAGUAGCCGACCUGAGAGGGUGAUCGGCCACAUUGGAACUGAGACACGGUCCAAACUCCUACGGGAGGCAGCAGUGGGGAAUAUUGCACAAUGGGCGAAAGCCUGAUGCAGCAACGCCGCGUGAACGAUGAAGGCCUUUGGGUCGUAAAGUUCUGUCCUUGGGGAAGAAAAAAAUGACGGUACCCUUGGAGGAAGCCCCGGCUAACUACGUGCCAGCAGCCGCGGUAAUACGUAGGGGGCAAGCGUUAUCCGGAAUUAUUGGGCGUAAAGAGUACGUAGGUGGUUCUUUAAGCGCAGGGUUUAAGGCAAUGGCUCAACCAUUGUUCGCCUUGCGAACUGGAGAACUUGAGUACAGGAGAGGAAAGCGGAAUUCCUAGUGUAGCGGUGAAAUGCGUAGAUAUUAGGAGGAACACCAGCGGCGAAGGCGGCUUUCUGGACUGUAACUGACACUGAGGUACGAAAGCGUGGGGAGCAAACAGGAUUAGAUACCCUGGUAGUCCACGCCGUAAACGAUGAGCACUAGGUGUCGGGGUCGCAAGACUUCGGUGCCGCAGUUAACGCAUUAAGUGCUCCGCCUGGGGAGUACGUUCGCAAGAAUGAAACUCAAAGGAAUUGACGGGGACCCGCACAAGCAGCGGAGCAUGUGGUUUAAUUCGAAGCAACGCGAAGAACCUUACCAGGACUUGACAUCCUUCUGACAGACCUUUAACCAGGUCCUCCUUCGGGCAGAAGUGACAGGUGGUGCAUGGUUGUCGUCAGCUCGUGUCGUGAGAUGUUGGGUUAAGUCCCGCAACGAGCGCAACCCUUGUCAUUAGUUGCCAUCAUUAAGUUGGGCACUCUAGUGAGACUGCCGGGGACAACUCGGAGGAAGGUGGGGAUGACGUCAAAUCAUCAUGCCCCUUAUGUUCUGGGCUACACACGUGCUACAAUGGUUGGUACAGAGAGAAGCAAGACCGUGAGGUGGAGCCAAUCUCCAAAACCAGCCCCAGUUCGGAUUGUAGGCUGCAACUCGCCUACAUGAAGUCGGAGUUGCUAGUAAUCGCGAAUCAGAAAUGUCGCGGUGAAUGCGUUCCCGGGUCUUGUACACACCGCCCGUCACACCAUGGAAGUUGGGGGCGCCCGAAGUUGGUCAUUUAAUAGAUUACCUAAGGCGAAACCAAUGACUAGGGUGAAGUCGUAACAAGGUAGCC
rnacentral:rRNA from 1 species